UUCUCCAGGCUAAUCAUCCCCAGCUCCCUAAGGCUGGGUUUGUAUUAAGGGUUUUUAUGUUUUUAGUCUUGGUUGGCUUGGCUUUAUAGCAUGCUUCUCUCAGAUCUCAAGAUAGAAAGAUGUUAAUAUAUAAGUAGUAAUUACAUUUUUUAUUAAAAGGAAAUUGGUUGUGAAAGAGUUGAGGUGGGAUGGACCAUUGAGCAAUGAGCAACCGUAAUGUGGCUUGCGAAGCCAAUGAGUUGGGAAAUUCCAGUGUUGACAUCGCAUGCAAAGGUCUUUGCAGUUUCUCGUAAGAGGAAAGCCACAAAAGAGUUGCUGGAAGAGUGUUUUGGAGACAGAUUCAGAAGGCAUCCAUAGUUUCUUUCCCUGGCUGCAAAGCUGCAGAAAACCAUGGAAAGACGACAACCAUGGCUGGUUUUUCUGGUUAGCUAUCUUGUCCUGAUGGCCACCAUCGCUGGGAUGGUGGUCCCGGGGCCAGUAUCUGGGAACCCAACCACCGUUUUGUCCCCAGCUGCUGAGUUGAAAGAUACAGCGUCUGAGCCUCUAGCAGAUGCCAGUGUUCCUGUGUUGGUGCCAAGGUCCAACAUUCACAAGGCCUGGUGGAAAAAAGGGCUAUCUGAAAGGAAGAAGAAACCAAGCAAGCCACUUUGGAGGCCUGGGAUGUUCACGCUUCUGGGUGGGAAGGAAAUAAUAACACGGAAGAAAAUCCAGUCUUCCUGAAGGCGUGAGACCCAAGAGUGAUUUGCCAUCUUCCCUGCAGAACAUCUUGCUACUCUUCCCUUUGUAGGAACUCUUCCUUGGCAGCCACUCUACACUAGCAUGUGUCUCAUUGGGUGCAUCCACACUGCACAGUUAUUGCAGUUCAAUGCCACUUUCGCUGCCAUGGCUCCAUCCUGUGGGAACUUAGCCAUUCAAGGUUUGGAGGUGCUUAGAUCUCUCUAGAGCUCCCUGGCAGAGGAUUCCAUGAUCUUUACCAAACAACGUAUGCCAGGAUUUGUUAGGAUGGAGCCAGAGCGGUUGAAGUGGUAUCAGCCUGGAUGCAUACAUUGUUUGCGUGAAGCUGUCCUCGUUGCAGCCAGUUCUGGAUGGUGCCAAAACUGUCUAGAAAUGAGCAUGUUUUUGAUUUACUAUAUGGCAAGCCCUGUUUGAUCUGUCUUUCCUCAUAGCAAUAAACACUGUGCUUUUCUUUCCA